AUUGAACGCUGGCGGCAUGCUUUACACAUGCAAGUCGAACGGUAACAGGCCUUCGGGUGCUGACGAGUGGCGAACGGGUGAGUAAUGCGUCGGAACGUGCCCAGAGGUGGGGGAUAACGCAGCGAAAGCUGUGCUAAUACCGCAUGUGAUCUGAGGAUGAAAGCGGGGGACCAGGCAGCAAUGUUUGGCCUCGCGCCUUUGGAGCGGCCGAUGUCAGAUUAGGUAGUUGGUGGGGUAAAGGCCUACCAAGCCGACGAUCUGUAGCUGGUCUGAGAGGACGACCAGCCACACUGGGACUGAGACACGGCCCAGACUCCUACGGGAGGCAGCAGUGGGGAAUUUUGGACAAUGGGCGCAAGCCUGAUCCAGCAAUGCCGCGUGCGGGAAGAAGGCCUUCGGGUUGUAAACCGCUUUUGUACGGAACGAAAAGGCUCUGGCUAAUACCUGGGGCUGAUGACGGUACCGUAAGAAUAAGCACCGGCUAACUACGUG
rnacentral:rRNA from 1 species